AUGGGCGCAAGCCUGAUGCAGCGACGCCGCGUGCGGGAUGGAGGCCUUCGGGUUGUAAACCGCUUUUAUAGGGGGGCAAGCUAUGCCUGUGUGGUGUGGUGAGUGGACUUUAUGAAUAAGCACCGGCUAACUACGUGCCAGCAGCCGCGGUAAUACGUAGGGUGCAAGCGUUGUCCGGAUUUAUUGGGCGUAAAGGGCUCGUAGGCGGUUUGUUGCGUCUGGUGUGAAAGCUUACUGCUUAACGGUAGGUUGCGCUGGAUACGGGCAGGCUUGAGUGCAGUAGGGGAGACUGGAAUUCUCGGUGUAACGGUGGAAUGUGUAGAUAUCGGGAAGAACACCUAUGGCGAAGGCAGGUCUCUGGGCUGUUACUGACGCUGAGGAGCGUAAAGCGUGGGGAGCGAACGAGGAUUAGAUACCCUGGUAGUCCAUGCUGUAAACGGUGGACGCUGGAUGUGGGGCCUAUUUCCACGGGUUCUGUGUCGGAGCUAACGCGUUAAAGCGUGCCGCCUGGGGAGUACG
rnacentral:rRNA from 1 species